AACAGGGAUUGCCUCAGUAACGGCGAGUGAAGCGGCAACAGCUCAAAUUUGAAAUCUGGCCUCACGGUCCGAGUUGUAAUUUGUAGAGGAUGCUUUUGGCGAGGUGCUUUCCGAGUUCCCUGGAACGGGACGCCAUAGAGGGUGAGAGCCCCGUACGGUAAGACCACCGAGCCUCUGUAAAGCUCCUUCGACGAGUCGAGUAGUUUGGGAAUGCUGCUCUAAAUGGGAGGUGUACGUCUUCUAAAGCUAAAUACCGGCCAGAGACCGAUAGCGCACAAGUAGAGUGAUCGAAAGAUGAAAAGCACUUUGAAAAGAGGGUUAAAAAGUACGUGAAAUUGUUGAAAGGGAAGCAUUCAUGACCAGACUUGGGCUUGGUUGAACAUCCGGCGUUCUCGCCGGUGCACUCUGCCAGUCCAGGCCAGCAUCAGUUUGCCCCGGGGGACAAAGGCGGUGGGAAUGUGGCUCCCUUCGGGGAGUGUUAUAGCCCGCCGUGUAAUGCCCUGGGGCGGACUGAGGAACGCGCUUCGGCACGGAUGCUGGCGUAAUGGUCAUCAAUGACCCGUCUUGAAACACGGACCAAGGAGUCGUCUUCGUAUGCGAGUGUUCGGGUGUCAAACCCCUACGCGUAAUGAAAGUGAACGUAGGUGAGAGCUUCGGCGCAUCACCGACCGAUCCUGAUGUUCUCGGAUGGAUUUGAGUAAGAGCAUACGGGGCCGGACCCGAAAGAAGGUGAACUAUGCCUGUAUAGGGUGAAGCCAGAGGAAACUCUGGUGGAGGCUCGCAGCGGUUCUGACGUGCAAAUCGAUCGUCAAAUAUGGGCAUGGGGGCGAAAGACUAAUCGA
rnacentral:rRNA from 1 species